rnacentral:misc_RNA from 1 species
GUGAAUCAUCGAAUUUUUGAACGCAAAUUGCACUCCCUGGUAUUCCGGGGAGUAUGCCUGUUUGAGGGUCGUUAGAAUAAUAAAUCGAUGCGUCGCUCUUUUUUUUAGUGGUGACCGCGUCGGAAUUGAGCCGUCUUUCAAAGGUUACUUCAUGUCAAAGUGACUUAAAAUUCAUCCAUCCGUCACGAUUAAAGCGUAUUUAAUAUCAACUGUGAUUAAGAA